CCUACGGGAGGCAGCAGUGAGGAAUAUUGGUCAAUGGACGAGAGUCUGAACCAGCCAAGUAGCGUGAAGGAUGACUGCCCUAUGGGUUGUAAACUUCUUUUAUAUGGGAAUAAAACGUUCCACGUGUGGGAUUUUGUAUGUACCAUAUGAAUAAGGAUCGGCUAACUCCGUGCCAGCAGCCGCGGUAAUACGGAGGAUCCGAGCGUUAUCCGGAUUUAUUGGGUUUAAAGGGAGCGUAGGUGGAUUGUUAAGUCAGUUGUGAAAGUUUGCGGCUCAACCGUAAAAUUGCAGUUGAAACUGGCAGUCUUGAGUACAGUAGAGGUGGGCGGAAUUCGUGGUGUAGCGGUGAAAUGCUUAGAUAUCACGAAGAACUCCGAUUGCGAAGGCAGUUCACUGAACUGCAACUGACACUGAGGCUCGAAAGUGUGGGUAUCAAACAGGAUUAGAUACCCCUGUAGUC
rnacentral:rRNA from 1 species